rnacentral:rRNA from 1 species
AUUGAAAGCUGGCGGCAGGCCUAACACAUGCAAGUCGAACGAGUGGCGGACGGGUGAGUAAUGUCUGGGAAACUGCCUGAUGGAGGGGGAUAACUACUGGAAACGGUAGCUAAUACCGCAUACCAUCAGAUGUGCCCAGAUGGGAUUAGCUAGUUGGUGGGGUAACGGCUCACCAAGGCGACGAUCCCUAGCUGGUCUGAGAGGAUGACCAGCCACACUGGAACGGAGACACAGUCCCGACUCCUACGGGAGGCAGCAGUGGGGAAUAUGGCACAAUGGGCGCAGGCCUGAUGCAGCCAUACCGCGUGUAUGAAGAAGGCCUUCGAGUGGUAAAGUACGUUCAGCGGGGAGGCGUUAAACGCAGAAGAAGCACCGGCUAACUCCGUGCCAGCAGCCGCGGUAAUAC